rnacentral:lncRNA from 1 species
AAAAAAAUCAUAAGUCAUUUCCAAAUCAAAAAAUAAAAUAUUACUUUCUGACUCACAAGGGCAUUUUCGUCAUUUUUCUUCAAAAAUAUCGAAACUCGCCAAAAACAUGGUGUAAAAGCUAAAUAUAUUCAUACAUACUUUAAAUCAAACAACUGAAGAAUAAAAUUACUUUUACAGUGACACAUGGGCCCCCAACUAACCAAGAAGGUGUAGAGCUACGAACCCUUACUUCCUAUGAUGCAACUUCGAGAUUAAUUCUCGUCUUAAUCAACUAUCAACAAACUGUUC